rnacentral:rRNA from 1 species
GGGUCAGUAGGUUGGUCGUGCCACCGGUACGUACUGGUCUCACUGAUUCCUCCCUCCUGAAGAACCGUAAUGCCAUUAAUUUGGUGUUGCGGGGAAACAGGACUGUUACUUUGAAAAAAUUAGAGUGUUUAAAGCAAGCUAACGCUUGAAUACAUUAGCAUGGAAUAAUGAAAUAGGACGAUCGAUCCUAUUUUGUUGGUUUCUGGGAUUGACGUA